rnacentral:rRNA from 1 species
UACGUAGGGUGCAAGCGUUAAUCGGAAUUACUGGGCGUAAAGCGUGCGCAGGCGGUGGCUCAAGCCAGGCGUGAAAUCCCCGGGCUUAACCUGGGAAUUGCAUUUCAAACUGGCCGACUAGAGUACGGUAGAGGGAGGUAGAAUUUCCAGUGUAGCGGUGAAAUGCGUAGAUAUUGGAAGGAACACCAGUGGCGAAGGCGACUAUCUGGGCAAAUACUGACACUGAGACACGAAAGCAUGGGGAGCAAACAGG